rnacentral:lncRNA from 1 species
UGUGCCUCCGCGACCUCAUCUGUAAAAUGGGGAUUAAGACUGUUAGCCUCACGUGGGACAACCUGAUCACCCUGUAUCUACCCCAGUGCUUAGAACAGUGCUCCGCACAUAGUAAGCGCUUAACAAAUUACCAACAUUAUUAUUAUUACUACUAAUAAAAGAAGAAGGAAAGGUAAAAUCCCCCACGGAGCCCUAAGGGUUGACUAUAGUUUUGACAUGCAAAAGUUGGGGCCUCCAAGUGCAAAAUCACAUCUGGGGGUUUGCCAGACCAAAAAUACUGAAGGCUGAGACUUCAAUGGCUCCUUUCCACCCUCAGCCGUGCCUUAUACCCCGGGUUCCUGCCCUGCCCAAGGUGGGAGAGUGACGAUGACUGGGAGAUGGCGGCCGAAUCCCAGGUGAGCUGCGGUUGGUUCUGCGCUUCUUGAGGUCGCGCCUUUACUGCCAGAUUGUGGCCCUGUAGUCUUCCCACCCCCGUAGAGCUAACCUCCCUCCCUUUGGUGGGGGGCACAUUGAGCCUCAUUUCCUGUCCUCGUGUACACUAAGGUCGCUGGCCUCUUUAGUACGUGCCCUCCCUUUCCCCAGACCCCCCCGGUUGCCCUGAAUCAUCUCCGUUCCGUUGCCUGAGUUGAACCCUUCCACCUCCCACAGUUGGUGGAUGCGUUAGCUGCCCCCCAGCAAGGACUUAGCGAGGGUCUUGGGCUUGUUUGGGGGCCCGUGAGGCUUGAGCCCGUGCCCUUGUAUCUCUCCCAGGAGUCCUGGGCCACCUCAGCCCUGCUCAGAAGGACCUCUACGGGGACAUCGCGUCAGGAGCACCAGGCGAAUGAGAUCCCUCUACGGUUUCUGAGAUCCAGAGCGAGAACGAGGAGCAGAAUCUGGACCGGGAAACAUCUGAGGAAGCGGUCCUGCCUCGGGCCCUUAUUAGAAAACUCCAAAGACGGUGUUUUCCCAGGUCCUCUCCUGGAGAAAGACUGCCGAGGACGAAUGCGAGUUAGAACCACCACUGGCAGGUUUCCCCGGAGAGACGGUGGGGGAAAGCCACCCUCGAAGAGGGCUUAGGGGAAACUCAUAGACCAGCAGGGACUCUACCUGGUGGUCGACCAAACCCUAUAAAUGUGGGGAGUGCGUGAAGAGCUUUAGCCGAGCUCCCAUUUCAUCGCCCACCAAAGAAUCCACACGGGGGAGAAAACCCUAUAAAUGGCUUAGAAUUGUGGGGAAAAGCUUCAGUGAUCCGCUCGAACCUUCAAUACCCACCAGAGGAUCCACACGGGAGAGAAGCCCUACAAAUGUCUCGAGUGUGGGGAAGAGCUUCAGCGACCACUCGAAUCUCGUGGGCGCACCAGAGGAUUCCCACACGGCCGAGGAAAACCGUACACAAA